GACGAACGCUGGCGGCGUGCUUAACACAUGCAAGUCGAACGAAGUGGCGAACGGGUGAGUAACGCGUAAUCAACCUGCCCUUCAGGGGGGGUCAACAGUUGGAAACGACUGCUAUUACGCCAUACUGACGGAGGGUAAUGCGUCUGAUUAGCUAGUUGGAGGGGUCACGGCCCACCAAGUCGAUGAUCAGUCACCGGGCUUAUGGGGUGGACGGCCCCAUGGUGACUGGGACACGGGCCCGACUUCGUCGGGGGGCAGCAGGUGGGAAACAUCCGCAAUGGGCGAAAGGCGUACUGAGCAACUCCGGGGUGGGUAUGACGGCCUUCGGGUUGUAAAGCUCUUUUAAUCGAGACGCGGUACCGGAAUAGAAAGCCACGGCUAACUACGUGCCAGCCGCCGCGGUAAUAC
rnacentral:rRNA from 1 species